CCCCUAGUAACGGCGAGUGAAGAGGGAAAAGCUCAAAUUUUGAAUCUGGUGUCUUUGACCCCCGAGUUGUAAUCUAGAGAAGUGUUUUCCGUGUCGGCCCGUGCACAAGUUCCCUGGAACGGGGCGUCAUAGAGGGUGAGAAUCCCGUAUAUGGCACGGACUGCCGAUGCUCUGUGAUACACUCUCAACGAGUCGAGUUGUUUGGGAAUGCAGCUCAAAAUGGGUGGUAAAUUCCAUCUAAAGCUAAAUAUUGGCGAGAGACCGAUAGCGAACAAGUACCGUGAGGGAAAGAUGAAAAGCACUUUGGAAAGAGAGUGAAACAGUACGUGAAAUUGUUGAAAGGGAAGCGUUUGAAGUCAGUCAUGUCUGGCGGGAUUCAGCUUGGCUUUUGCCUGGUGUACUUUCCGUCGGACGGGUCAGCAUCAAUUUCGACCGAGGGAAAAAGACGUGCGGAAUGUGGCUGUCUUCGGGCAGUGUUAUAGCCCCGCGUUGUAUGCCUCGGUUGGGAUUGAGGAACGCAGCGCGCCUAUWGGCCAGGGGCUACCCGCCUCUUGACCACGCGCUUAGGAUGCUGGCAUAA
rnacentral:rRNA from 1 species